rnacentral:rRNA from 1 species
AUACGUAGGGUGCGAGCGUUGUCCGGAAUUACUGGGCGUAAAGAGCUCGUAGGUGGUUUGUCGCGUCGUCUGUGAAAUCCCGGGGCUUAACUCCGGGCGUGCAGGCGAUACGGGCAUAACUUGAGUGCUGUAGGGGAGACUGGAAUUCCUGGUGUAGCGGUGAAAUGCGCAGAUAUCAGGAGGAACACCAAUGGCGAAGGCAGGUCUCUGGGCAGUAACUGACGCUGAGGAGCGAAAGCAUGGGUAGCGAACAGGAUUAGAUACCCUGGUAGUCCAUGCCGUAAACGGUGGGCGCUAGGUGUAGGGGACUUCCACGUCUUCUGUGCCGCAGCUAACGCAUUAAGCGCCCCGCCUGGGGAGUACGGCCGCAAGGCUAAA